UCGAUCUGCUGCGGGCAGAUGAAGUGGAUGUGCGUGUCGAUGCCGCCGGCGGUGAGGAUCAUGCCCUCGCCGGCGAUCACCUCGGUGCCGGCGCCGAUGGCGAUGUUCACCCCGGGCUGGAUGUCCGGGUUGCCGGCCUUGCCGAUGGCCUGGAUGCGCCCGUCCUUGAGACCGACGUCGGCCUUGACCACGCCCCAGUGGUCGAGGAUCAGCGCAUUGGUGAUCACCGUGUCGACCACCUGCGCCGCGCCCAGCUGGCUCUGGCCCAUGCCGUCGCG
rnacentral:sRNA from 1 species